rnacentral:rRNA from 1 species
GACGUAGGGCGCGAGCGUUGUCCGGAAUUAUUGGGCGUAAAGAGCUCGUAGGCGGUGUGUCGCGUCGGCCGUGAAAACCUGCAGCUUAACUGUGGGCUUGCGGUCGAUACGGGCAUCACUGGAGUUCGGCAGGGGAGACUGGAAUUCCUGGUGUAGCGGUGAAAUGCGCAGAUAUCAGGAGGAACACCGGUGGCGAAGGCGGGUCUCUGGGCCGAUACUGACGCUGGGGAGCGAAAGCGUGGGGAGCGAACAGG